GCCGGUGUAGCUCAGCUGGUAGAGCAUCUGAUUUGUAAUCAGAGGGUCGCGGGUUCGAAUCCUGUCGCCGGCUCCA
rnacentral:tRNA from 3 species